rnacentral:rRNA from 1 species
GAUGAACGCUGGCGGCGUGCUUAACACAUGCAAGUCGAACGAUGAUCCGGUGCUUGCACCGGGGAUUAGUGGCGAACGGGUGAGUAACACGUGAGUAACCUGCCCUUAACUCUGGGAUAAGCCUGGGAAACUGGGUCUAAUACCGGAUAUGACUCCUCAUCGCAUGGUGGGGGGUGGAAAGCUUUUUGUGGUUUUGGAUGGACUCGCGGCCUAUCAGCUUGUUGGUGAGGUAAUGGCUUACCAAGGCGACGACGGGUAGCCGGCCUGAGAGGGUGACCGGCCACACUGGGACUGAGACACGGCCCAGACUCCUACGGGAGGCAGCAGUGGGGAAUAUUGCACAAUGGGCGCAAGCCUGAUGCAGCGACGCCGCGUGAGGGAUGACGGCCUUCGGGUUGUAAACCUCUUUCAGUAGGGAAGAAGCGAAAGUGACGGUACCUGCAGAAGAAGCGCCGGCUAACUACGUGCCAGCAGCCGCGGUAAUACGUAGGGCGCAAGCGUUAUCCGGAAUUAUUGGGCGUAAAGAGCUCGUAGGCGGUUUGUCGCGUCUGCCGUGAAAGUCCGGGGCUCAACUCCGGAUCUGCGGUGGGUACGGGCAGACUAGAGUGAUGUAGGGGAGACUGGAAUUCCUGGUGUAGCGGUGAAAUGCGCAGAUAUCAGGAGGAACACCGAUGGCGAAGGCA